UACGUAGGGUGCGAGCGUUGUCCGGAAUUAUUGGGCGUAAAGAGCUUGUAGGCGGUCUGUCGCGUCUGCUGUGAAAAUCCGGGGCUCAACCCCGGACUUGCAGUGGGUACGGGCAGACUAGAGUGUGGUAGGGGAGACUGGAAUUCCUGGUGUAGCGGUGAAAUGCGCAGAUAUCAGGAAGAACACCCGUGGCGAAGGCGGUCUCUG
rnacentral:rRNA from 1 species